rnacentral:rRNA from 1 species
UAUGUAAUACUGCCUCUAGUACGAAAGGACCGAAGCAGUGGGGCCAAUAUCUCCCAUACGCCCCCUCUCUAAUUAGUGCAACCAACUCAACUAACAAGAAAACACACUAUUAAUAUCCUAGAGAAGGAUA